GAAGAAGGAUGGAUCAAGAAUGUCCAAGGAGGAGGAAAGCUCAUUCAGUUUCAACUGUCCUCGCCUUUGGCCCCAUCCUGUGGUCGUUCGUUCGUGUGCACUGGCUAUGCUCUUCUGUGAGAACAUUCAAGAUUGAGCCCUCAAAAUUGCAGAAUGUGGAAACAGAUGUGGCAGAAAUGAUCCCAAAUGUUUGAAGGAGUUGGAUUAUAUUGGAGCAGUGUUUGACUAAGGAAAGGAGAAAACGCAAUUGACAUUAAUUGACAUCGUCCUCGCUAUGAAAAUAAUUAGCUCAUCUAUUUACCAAAAAUCAAAAAAGAAAUACUUCGUAAAUCCCCUAUCUUUGUCAAGGACAUUCAAUUUUAUUAUUGCAAACAUUCUUUAAAAAUGAAUGUUUUCUUGAAAAAUGAAGAAACAAGCAUUAUAAAACUUGGCAAUUUCACCAGUAGUUAAAGCUAUAGCAAGCAAAACUUGGAUAUAAACUAAAGUUUUACUCAGAAAUUCUUUAACAAAAUAAUCUGUCUUAAACUUGACCGG